AUGCAAGUCGAGCGGAUGAAGGGAGCUUGCUCCUGGAUUCAGCGGCGGACGGGUGAGUAAUGCCUAGGAAUCUGCCUGGUAGUGGGGGAUAACGUCCGGAAACGGGCGCUAAUACCGCAUACGUCCUGAGGGAGAAAGUGGGGGAUCUUCGGACCUCACGCUAUCAGAUGAGCCUAGGUCGGAUUAGCUAGUUGGUGGGGUAAAGGCCUACCAAGGCGACGAUCCGUAACUGGUCUGAGAGGAUGAUCAGUCACACUGGAACUGAGACACGGUCCAGACUCCUACGGGAGGCAGCAGUGGGGAAUAUUGGACAAUGGGCGAAAGCCUGAUCCAGCCAUGCCGCGUGUGUGAAGAAGGUCUUCGGAUUGUAAAGCACUUUAAGUUGGGAGGAAGGGCAGUAAGUUAAUACCUUGCUGUUUUGACGUUACCAACAGAAUAAGCACCGGCUAACUUCGUGCCAGCAGCCGCGGUAAUACGAAGGGUGCAAGCGUUAAUCGGAAUUACUGGGCGUAAAGCGCGCGUAGGUGGUUCAGCAAGUUGGAUGUGAAAUCCCCGGGCUCAACCUGGGAACUGCAUCCAAAACUACUGAGCUAGAGUACGGUAGAGGGUGGUGGAAUUUCCUGUGUAGCGGUGAGAUGCGU
rnacentral:rRNA from 1 species